rnacentral:rRNA from 1 species
CCCGACUGCUAUCAGAGUGGGACUAAGCCAUGCGAGUCGACAUAGCAAUAUGUGGCAUACGGCUCAGUAGCACGUAGUCAACAUGCCCAGGGGACGUGGAUAACCUCGGGAAACUGAGGAUAAACCGCGAUAGGUCAUCACUUCUGGAAUGGGUAAUGACUUAAACCUAUAUGGCCCCUGGAUUGGACUGCGGCCGAUCAGGCUGUUGGUGAGGUAAUGGCCCACCAAACCUGUAACCGGUACGGGCUCUGAGAGGAGGAGCCCGGAGAUGGGCACUGAGACAAGGGCCCAGGCCCUAUGGGGCGCAGCAGGCGCGAAACCUCUGCAAUAGGCGAAAGCUUGACAGGGUUACUCUGAGUGAUUUCCGUUAAGGAGAUCUUUUGGCACCUCUAAAAAUGGUGCAGAAUAAGGGGUGGGCAAGUCUGGUGUCAGCCGCCGCGGUAAUACCAGCACCCCGAGUGGUCGGGACGUUUAUUGGGCCUAAAGCAUCCGUAGCCGGUUCUACAAGUCUUCCGUUAAAUCCACCUGCUUAACAGAUGGGCUGCGGAAGAUACUAUAGAGCUAGGAGGCGGGAGAGGCAAGCGGUACUCGAUGGGUAGGGGUAAAAUCCGUUGAUCCAUUGAAGACCACCAGUGGCGAAGGCGGCUUGCCAGAACGCGCUCGACGGUGAGGGAUGAAAGCUGGGGGAGCAAACCGGAUUAGAUACCCGGGUAGUCCCAGCUGUAAACGAUGCAGACUCGGUGAUGAAUUGGCUUAUUGCUAAUUCAGUGCCGCAGGGAAGCCGUUAAGUUUGCCGCCUGGGGAGUACGGUCGCAAGACUGAAACUUAAAGGAAUUGGCGGGGGAGCACCACAAGGGGUGAAGCCUGCGGUUCAAUUGGAGUCAACGCCGGAAAUCUUACCGGGGGCGACAGCAGAGUGAAGGUCAAGCUGAAGACUUUACCAGACAAGCUGAGAGGAGGUGCAUGGCCGUCGCCAGCUCGUGCCGUGAGGUGUCCUGUUAAGUCAGGUAACGAGCGAGAUCCCUGCCUCUAGUUGCUACCAUUAUUCUCAGGAGUAGUGGAGCUAAUUAGAGGGACCGCCGUCGCUGAGACGGAGGAAGGUGGGGGCUACGGCAGGUCAGUAUGCCCCGAAACCCUCGGGCCACACGCGGGCUGCAAUGGUAAGGACAAUGAGUUUCGAUUCCGAAAGGAGGAGGCAAUCUCUAAACCUUACCACAGUUAUGAUUGAGGGCUGAAACUCGCCCUCAUGAAUAUGGAAUCCCUAGUAACCGCGUGUCACUAUCGCGCGGUGAAUACGUCCCUGCUCCU